rnacentral:rRNA from 1 species
CAGCAGCCGCGGGAACACGAAGGGUGCAAGCGUUAAUCGGAAUUACUGGGCGUAAAGCGUGCGUAGGCGGUUUGUUAAGUCUGUUGUGAAAUCCCCGGGCUCAACCUGGGAAUGGCAAUGGAUACUGGCAAGCUAGAGUGUGUCAGAGGAUGGUGGAAUUCCCGGUGUAGCGGUGAAAUGCGUAGAGAUCGGGAGGAACAUCAGUGGCGAAAGCGGCCAUCUGGGACAACACUGACGCUGAGGCACGAAAGCGUGGGGAGCAAACAGGAUUAGAUACCCCGGUAGUCCCUGUCUCUUAUAC